UCCGGUCUUUAGAGCGCUGUCGUACCACCUCUUCCCAUUCCGAACAGAGCCGUGAAAGGCAGCAGCGGGAACGAUAGAAUCGGGGCAACCCUAUUUGAAAAUACCUCAAGGCCGGAU
rnacentral:rRNA from 1 species